rnacentral:rRNA from 1 species
AUGAACGCUGGCGGCGUGCUUAACACAUGCCAGUCGAACGGGAUCCAAGGGGUGCUUGCACUUUUUGGUGAGAGUGGCGAACGGGUGAGUAACACGUGAGUAACCUAUCCUUUUCUUUGGGAUAAGCAUUCGAAAGGGUGUUUAAUACCUUAUGUUCUGUCUGCCUCGCAUGGGGUGGGUGGGAAAGGCUUUGGCCGGAUUUGGGUGGGCUCGCGGUCUAUCAGCUUGUUGGUGGGGUGAUGGCUUACCAAGGCUUUGACGGGUAGCCGGCCUGAGAGGGUGGUCGGUCACAUUGGGACUGAGAUACGGCCCAGACUCCUGCGGGAGGCAGCAGUGGGGGAUAUUGCACAAUGGGCGAAAGCCUGAUGCAGCGACGCCGCGUGGGGGAUGAAGGCCUUCGGGUUGUAAACUUCUUUUGCUCUGAACAAGGCAUGCCAGUGGGUGUGUUGAGUGUAGGGGUUGAUUAGCGCCGGCUAACUACGUG